AUAAUACUCCCUCCGUACGGAAUUACUUGUCAUCAAAAUGGAUGUGUCUAGAACUAAAAUACAUCUAGAUACAUCCAUUUCAAUGACAAGUAUUUUCGGACGGAGGGAGUAGUAG
rfam:Triticum aestivum genome assembly, contig: Triticum_aestivum_CS42_TGACv1_scaffold_576774_7BL